rnacentral:rRNA from 1 species
CCUACGGGUGGCAGCAGUGAGGAAUAUUGGUCAAUGGGCGCGAGCCUGAACCAGCCAAGCAGCGUGAAGGAUGAAUGUCCUACGGGUUGUAAACUUCUUUUAUAAAGGAAUAAAGUGAGGCACGUGUGCCUUAUUGCAUGUACUUUAUGAAUAAGGAUCGGCUAACUCCGUGCCAGCAGCCGCGGUAAUACGGAGGAUCCGAGCGUUAUCCGGAUUUAUUGGGUUUAAAGGGAGCGUAGAGGGGUUGUUAAGUCAGUGGUGAAAGCUUGCGGCUCAACCGUAGAACUGCAAUUGAUACUGGCAGUCUGGAGUACAGGUGAGGUAGGCGGAAUUCGUGGUGUAGCGGUGAAAUGCUUAGAUAUCACGAAGAACUCCGAUUGCGAAGGCAGCUUACUGGACUGCCACUGACGUUGAUGCUCGAAAGUGUGGGUAUCAAACAGGAUUAGAUACCCCAGUAGUC